CCCUACGGGAGGCAGCAGUGGGGAAUAUUGGACAAUGGGCGAAAGCCUGAUCCAGCCAUGCCGCGUGAGUGAAGAAGGCCUUAGGGUUGUAAAGCUCUUUCACCGGUGAAGAUAAUGACUGUAGCCGGAGAAGAAGCCCCGGCUAACUUCGUGCCAGCAGCCGCGGUAAUACGAAGGGGGCUAGCGUUGUUCGGAAUUACUGGGCGUAAAGCGCGCGUAGGCGGAUACUUAAGUCAGGGGUGAAAUCCCGAGGCUCAACCUCGGAACUGCCCUUGAUACUGGGCAUCUUGAGUUCGAGAGAGGUAAGUGGAAUUCCGAGUGUAGAGGUGAAAUUCGUAGAUAUUCGGAGGAACACCAGAGGCGAAGGCGGCUUACUGGCUCGAUACUGACGCUGAGGCGCGAAAGCGUGGGGAGCAAACAGGAUUAGAUACCCUGGUAGACCACGCCGUAAACGAUGGAUGCUAGCCGUUGGAUAGUAUACUAUUCAGUGGCGCAGCUAACGCAUUAAGCAUCCCGCCUGGGGAGUACGGUCGCAAGAUUAAAACUCAAAGGAAUUGACGG
rnacentral:rRNA from 1 species